rnacentral:rRNA from 1 species
GACGAACGCUGGCGGCGUGCUUAACACAUGCAAGUCGAACGAAAAGAGGGAAAGAGCCUGCUCUUUCCGGAAUUGAGUGGCAAACGGGUGAGUAACACGUAAACAACCUGCCUUCAGGAUGGGGACAACAGACGGAAACGACUGCUAAUACCGAAUAAGUUCCAAGAGCCGCAUGGCCCAUGGAAGAAAAGGUGGCCUCUACCUGUAAGCUAUCGCCUGAAGAGGGGUUUGCGUCUGAUUAGCUGGUUGGCGGGGUAACGGCCCACCAAGGCGACGAUCAGUAGCCGGUCUGAGAGGAUGAACGGCCACACUGGAACUGAGACACGGUCCAGACUCCUACGGGAGGCAGCAGUGGGGAAUCUUCCGCAAUGGGCGAAAGCCUGACGGAGCAACGCCGCGUGAGUGAUGACGGCCUUCGGGUUGUAAAACUCUGUGAUCCGGGACGAAAAGGCAGAGUGCGAAGAACAAACUGCAUUGACGGUACCGGAAAAGCAAGCCACGGCUAACUACGUG